UACAGAGGUCUCAAGCGUUGUUCGGAUUCAUUGGGCGUAAAGGGCGCGUAGGCGGCGGGGUAAGUCGGGUGUGAAAUCUCAGAGCUCAACUCUGAAACUGCACUCGAUACUGCUCUGCUUGAGGACUGGAGAGGAGACUGGAAUUCACGGUGUAGCAGUGAAAUGCGUAGAUAUCGUGAGGAAGACCAGUGGCGAAGGCGGGUCUCUGGACAGUUCCUGACGCUGAGGCACGAAAGCCGGGGGAGCAAACAGG
rnacentral:rRNA from 1 species